rnacentral:sRNA from 1 species
UUGCAGCUGUGUUAGGGAUAGCAGCGGAAAGCCCACAGCGAAGCGAGGACUUGUAGCGGAUAGCCCGACCCGAA